GACGAACGCUGGCGGCGUGCUUAACACAUGCAAGUCGAACGGAAAGGCCCUGCUUUUGUGGGGUGCUCGAGUGGCGAACGGGUGAGUAACACGUGAGUAACCUGCCCUUGACUUUGGGAUAACUUCAGGAAACUGGGGCUAAUACCGGAUAGGAGCUCCUGCUGCAUGGUGGGGGUUGGAAAGUUUCGGCGGUUGGGGCUGGACUCGCGGCUUAUCAGCUUGUUGGGGGGGUAGUGGCUUACCAAGGCUUUGACGGCUAGCCGGCCUGAGAGGGGGACCGGCGACAUUGGUACUGAGGUACGGCCCAGUCUGCUACGGGAGGCAGCAGUGGGGAAUAUUGCACAAUGGGCCGAAGUCUGAUGCAGCAGCGCCGCGUGCGGGAUGACGGCCUUCGGGUUGUAAACCGCUUUCGCCUGUGACGAAGCGUGAGUGACGGUAAUGGGUAAAGAAGCACCGGCUAACUACGUG
rnacentral:rRNA from 1 species